GACGAACCGUGCGAACGUUGUUCGGAAUCACUGGGCUUAAAGGGCGCGUAGGCGGGCCGCCAGGUCGGGGGUGAAAUGCCGCAGCUUAACUGUGGAAGUGCCCCCGAUACCGGCGGCCUCGAGGGGGGUAGGGGCGUGUGGAACUUCCGGUGGAGCGGUGAAAUGCGUAGAUAUCGGAAGGAACGCCGGUGGCGAAAGCGACACGCUGGACCCCCACUGACGCUGAGGCGCGAAAGCCAGGGGAGCAAACGGG
rnacentral:rRNA from 1 species